rnacentral:rRNA from 1 species
AACGAACGCUGGCGGCAGGCCUAACACAUGCAAGUCGAGCGCACCUUCGGGUGAGCGGCGGACGGGUGAGUAACGCGUGGGAAUAUGCCUUUCUCUACGGAAUAGUCUCGGGAAACUGGGGGUAAUACCGUAUACGCCCUACGGGGGAAAGAUUUAUCGGAGAAGGAUUAGCCCGCGUUGGAUUAGGUAGUUGGUGGGGUAACGGCCUACCAAGCCGACGAUCCAUAGCUGGUUUGAGAGGAUGAUCAGCCACACUGGGACUGAGACACGGCCCAGACUCCUACGGGAGGCAGCAGUGGGGAAUCUUAGACAAUGGGGGCAACCCUGAUCUAGCCAUGCCGCGUGAGUGAUGAAGGCCUUAGGGUUGUAAAGCUCUUUCAGCUGGGAAGAUAAUGACGGUACCAGCAGAAGAAGCCCCGGCUAACUCCGUGCCAGCAGCCGCCGUAAGAC